rnacentral:rRNA from 1 species
UACGAAGGGUGCAAGCGUUGCUCGGAAUUAUUGGGCGUAAAGGGUAGGUAGGUGGUGACAUUUGUCUGGGGUGAAAUCCCUGAGCUUAACUCAGGAAGUGCCUUGGAAACGGUGUCACUAGAGUACUGGAGAGGUUCGCAGAAUUCUUGGUGUAGCGGUGAAAUGCGUAGAGAUCGGGAGGAACACCAGUGGCGAAGGCGGCCCUCUGGGCCGGGCCUGACGCUGAGACGCGAGGGCGUGGGGAGCGAACGGG